AUUGAACGCUGGCGGCACGCCUUACACAUGCAAGUCGAACGGCAGCACGGGUGCUUGCACCUGGUGGCGAGUGGCGAACGGGUGAGUAAUACAUCGGAACGUACCUUAUCGUGGGGGAUAACGCAGCGAAAGCUGUGCUAAUACCGCAUACGCCCUGAGGGGGAAAGCGGGGGAUCGCAAGACCUCGCGCGAUUAGAGCGGCCGAUGCCUGAUUAGCUUGUUGGUGGGGUAAAAGCCCACCAAGGCGACGAUCAGUAGCUGGUAUGAGAGGACGAUCAGCCACACUGGGACUGAGAAACGGCCCAGACCCCUACGGGAGGCAGCAGUGGGGAAUUUUGGACAAUGGGGGCAACCGUGAUCCAGCAAUGCCGCGUGAGUGAAGAAGGCCUUCGGGUUGUAAAGCUCUUUUGUCAGGGAAGAAACACCGGCUCUAACACAGUCCGGGAAUGACGGUACCUGAAGAAUAAGCACCGGCUAACUACGUGCCAGCCGCCGCGGUAA
rnacentral:rRNA from 1 species